rnacentral:lncRNA from 12 species
CAUAGCUGCUGCUGAGAAAGGGAAGUGAGACCUAGAGACAGAGUGACUUGCCGUACAAGGGCCGUCAAGCUCCCGGGAGGCAGGGCCAGGAGCCCCCACACCAGCAUUCCUUCACUGUGGCACACUGCAUUUCUUCACUCUCCCGAGCCUGUUCAAGGAGGCCACAGGGAAUCACCAUUCUUCAAGGAGCAGUUCAUCAGACACCUAUUAUCCAACUCUGUGAGUUGGGGUGAUUUACUUCUCUGGGCUUCAGUUUUCCUCAUCCGUGAAAUGGGAGAGAGACCAGAUAACGUCUCGCAGUCUUUCCCAGCUCUAGAGCCUACUUCUGGCAUUAUAGAAGGAAACGAACAUCAGAUCUGGGACAUGGGACAGCGUGGAGGAUAAGGAAGAGAAGAGGAUGCGAGUUUCCUAGCUGUCCUGGUUUUCUUCUUGGAUUCAUCUAAGUGUGUUUACAAAAUAUACUCAGUGGAUUCCUUAGUAACACACACAUGAUUAGCCCCUUCUGAUAUCUGAAAGAUAUAUGAAUUGCUGAGCUGCUGAUGAGAAAGAUCCGUGAAGAGUUUUUUUAAUUGGUUUAGUAAGAUUAUUUCCAGUCAACAAUUCCUUAGUUUAGUGGCAGAAGAUAGAUCUGUUUUCCAUUAAAGUUAGAUGCCAGACUUUUGAAUCACUCCAAAUAAAAACUAUUCCCUUAAAGAGCCA